rnacentral:lncRNA from 1 species
AUGUCACCGCCUGUGCUGCCCACCGAGUUGGUGCCUUCAGAGUGCAUUGUGGUGCUGCUGUCCUGUGCAUUCUUUGUGCUCAGCUCAGGCCUGCUGGUGGCCAUGUGCACCCUGUGGCCCGACCUGUGAAGCCAGGCACAGUGCCUGCUGCUCUUCCUGUCACUGGCCAACCUGCUCUCAGCUGCCUCCUACUUCUAUGGGAUGCUGCAGGACUUCGCAGGCUGUCAUGGAACUGCAUGCUGCAAGGUGUGCUGUCCACCCUCACCAACACCAGCUCAUUCUUCUGGACUGUGGCCAUCAUACUAUACCUGUACCUCAGGAUCACUAGCACCGUGCAGGCCCUGCACCAACCAUCUGCUCUGAGCCUUCCAUGUCAUC